rnacentral:misc_RNA from 1 species
GUGAAUCAUCAAAUUUUUGAACGCAAAUUGCGCUUCCUGGUAUCCCGGGAAGUAUGCCUGUUUGAGGGUCAGUAUUAAUAACAACUCGUUUUGUUUGCAAAUUGUGACGUUUCUGGAGUUUGGGCUUAUCUUAACUCUUUUGGUUAAGGGGUUUAAAAUUGACCUUUUUUGCGCAUUUUUCGUCGUACAUAAUUUUUUUUUUUAUUCGUCUAUUUUUAAUGCUAAAAUCUUCUUAUAUGCGAUC